rnacentral:rRNA from 1 species
GACGAACGCUAGCGGCAGGCCUAACACAUGCAAGUCGAGGGAGAAGCCCUUCGGGGCAGAAACCGGCGCACGGGUGCGUAACGCGUAUGCAACCUACCUUUCACAGGGGGAUAGCCCGAAGAAAUUUGGAUUAAUACCCCAUAAUAUUAUUGGAUGGCAUCAUUUGAUAAUUAAAAUUACGAUGGUGAAAGAUGGGCUGCGUCCUAUUAGCUAGUUGGAGUGGUAACGGCACCCCAAGGCUACGAUAGGUAGGGGUCCUGAGAGGGAGAUCCCCCACACUGGUACUGAGACAGGGACCAGACUCCUACGGGAGGCAGCAGUGAGGAAUAUUGGUCAAUGGUCGGAAGACUGAACCAGCCAUGCCGCGUGCAGGAAGAAUGCCUUAUGGGUUGUAAACUGCUUUUAUAUGGGAAGAAUAAGGCGUACGUGUACG